rnacentral:rRNA from 1 species
AUGAACUGGGCUGCACAGGAGCAUGCGCAAGAGAGAAAUAUCUCGUCCAGGGCGAUGGAUAGCAUGAGAGCGCUCACUCUGGGCCUCACGGGCCUGCUGAAGACGGGCAGGGGGGUCGGGGCCGGUUGGGACGAAUCGGGCCAGACCGGUUUGAGCGAGCCGGCAGGACCGAGCGGGUUCGGCUGGUUCGACCGGUUGAUGGUGUUCAGGGCAGAGGAGGCCUGGUCAACGAAGGAAACUGCAGCUCCCGCUCGCUGUAGCCAAGAUGCAGCGCGGCGAGGGACUUGGCGCGGAGGCGACCACCGGCGACAAGUGAGUGGCGGGGACGAUGGGAUCCGGCGGCGCAAGGGGGCUCCGAGGCGGGGAGGAACUAGCCGUGGCCGGCCGGCGGUAGGCGCGGGCGCCCGAGGAGGCGAGCGGUGCUGGAUGCAGAGGAGGCGCAGGGGACUUGGCGUGGCGGCGCGGCUUGAUGCAGAGAAGACGAUGACGCGGGAGGAUCUCGCCGGCAUGGACGAAAUGACAGGGCGCGGGGAGCUCAUUCCUGACGGCGGAGAGGGAGAACCGGCCAGAGAGCUCGACGGCAGCGGCGGGGUUCAUGCGGGCGAAGCAGAGGACGGCGUGGAGCUCGUUCCCGAGGAGAGUACGACGGCGGACUUGGCGCAAGCUCCCGGCGACGAGGUAGGCGGGAACGAUUCGAAGAGCUCGAGGACGACGACGUCUGGGCGCAGGAGGCGAGGAUGGCCGGCGCAAAACUUCCUGGGGCUCUCUGUUGCACGAACAGAGAGAGAGCAGGUGAGAGAGGGAGGAGAGAAGGACGAGGAAGGGAGAGGCAGGGGCGCAGGGUCCUGCUGCAAGUGGUCGCCGGCGACGUUCUCUGGAGGCGGCAGGGUCGCGAGCUCGAUCUCGCUCGAUCUGGAAGACUUGGGGAGGAGCUGCGGGAAAGGUGAAUUGAGGGAGAGGGGAUGGUUGGCCUGA